GAUGAACGCUGGCGGCGUGCCUAAUACAUGCAAGUCGAGCGAACAGACGAGGAGCUUGCUCCUCUGACGUUAGCGGCGGACGGGUGUGUAACACGUGUAUCACCCACCUAUCAGACUGGGAUAACUUCGGGAAACCGGAGCUAAUACCGGAUGAUAUAUUGAACCGCGUGGUUCAAUGGUGAAAUACGGUUUUGCUGUCACUUAUAGAUGGAUCCGCGCCGGAUUAGCUAGUUGGUAAUGUCACGGCUUACCAAGGCAACGAUGCGUGACCGACCGGAGAGGGUGAUAGGCCACACUGGAACUGGAACACGGUCCAGACUCCUACGGGACGCAGCAGUAGGGAAUGGUACGCAGUGGGCGAAAGCAUGACGGAGCGACGCCGCGUGAGUGAUGAAGGUCUUCGGAUCGUAAUGCUCGGUUAUGAGGUAAGAACAAAUGUGUAAGGAAAUAUGCACGUCUUGACGGUAACUAGUCAGAAAGCCACGGCUAACUACGUG
rnacentral:rRNA from 1 species